rnacentral:rRNA from 1 species
AGAGUUUGAUCCUGGCUCAGAUUGAACGCUGGCGGCAUGCUUUACACAUGCAAGUCGGACGGCAGCACAGAGAAGCUUGCUUCUUGGGUGGCGAGUGGCGAACGGGUGAGUAACGCAUCGGAACGUACCGAGUAGUGGGGGAUAACUGUCCGAAAGGAUGGCUAAUACCGCAUACGCUUUGAGAAGGAAAGCGGGGGAUCUUCGGACCUCGCGCUAUUCGAGCGGCCGAUGUCUGAUUAGCUAGUUGGUGGGGUAAAGGCCUACCAAGGCGACGAUCAGUAGCGGGUCUGAGAGGAUGAUCCGCCACACUGGGACUGAGACACGGCCCAGACUCCUACGGGAGGCAGCAGUGGGGAAUUUUGGACAAUGGGCGCAAGCCUGAUCCAGCCAUGCCGCGUGUCUGAAGAAGGCCUUCGGGUUGUAAAGGACUUUUGUCAGGGAAGAAAAGCUUUGGGUUAAUACCCUGGAGUGAUGACGGUACCUGAAGAAUAAGCACCGGCUAACUACGUGCCAGCAGCCGCGGUAAUACGUAGGGUGCGAGCGUUAAUCGGAAUUACUGGGCGUAAAGCGAGCGCAGACGGUUUGUUAAGCAGGAUGUGAAAUCCCCGGGCUCAACCUGGGAACUGCGUUCUGAACUGGCAGGCUAGAGUAUGUCAGAGGGGGGUAGAAUUCCACGUGUAGCAGUGAAAUGCGUAGAGAUGUGGAGGAAUACCGAUGGCGAAGGCAGCCCCCUGGGAUAAUACUGACGUUCAUGCUCGAAAGCGUGGGUAGCAAACAGGAUUAGAUACCCUGGUAGUCCACGCCCUAAACGAUGUCGACUAGCCGUUGGGAUCCUUGAGAUCUUAGUGGCGCAGCUAACGCGAUAAGUCGACCGCC